rnacentral:rRNA from 1 species
CAGUCGCCACGGUAAUACGAAGGGGGCUAGCGUUGUUCGGAAUUACUGGGCGUAAAGGGCGCGUAGGCGGCCAUUCAAGUUAGAUGUGAAAGCCCUGGGCUCAACCUAGGAAUUGCAUUUGAUACUGUUUGGCUUGAGAUCGGGAGAGGUGAGUGGAAUUCCCAGUGUAGAGGUGAAAUUCGUAGAUAUUGGGAAGAACACCAGUGGCGAAGGCGGCUCACUGGACCGACACUGACGCUGAGGCGCGAAAGCGUGGGGAGCAAACAGGAUUAGAUACCCCGGUAGUCCCUGUCUCUUAUAC